UGGAGGAUUAGCUCAGCUGGGAGAGCAUCUGCCUUACAAGCAGAGGGUCGGCGGUUCGAGCCCGUCAUCCUCCACCAU
rnacentral:tRNA from 2 species